rnacentral:rRNA from 1 species
UACGUAGGGGGCAAGCGUUGUCCGGAAUCAUUGGGCGUAAAGCGCGUGUAGGCGGCUGAGUAAGUCUGCUCUGAAAGCCCGGGGCUCAACCCCGGGAGGCGGGUGGAUACUGCUCAGCUCGAGUCCGGAAGAGGAGUGUGGAAUUCCUGGUGUAGCGGUGAAAUGCGCAGAUAUCGGGAGGAACACCGGUGGCGAAGGCGGUUCUCUGGGCCUGACCUGACGCUGGAGGAGCGAAAGCGUGGGGAGCGAACAGG